rnacentral:rRNA from 1 species
CCUACGGGUGGCUGCAGUAGGGAAUCUUCCACAAUGGACGAAAGUCUGAUGGAGCAACGCCGCGUGUGUGAUGAAGGGUUUCGGCUCGUAAAACACUGUUGUAAGAGAAGAAUGACAUUGAGAGUAACUGUUCAGUGUGUGACGGUAUCUUACCAGAAAGGAACGGCUAAAUACGUGCCAGCAGCCGCGGUAAUACGUAUGGUCCAAGCGUUAUCCGGAUUUAUUGGGCGUAAAGCGAGCGCAGACGGUUGUAUAAGUCCGAAGUGGAAGUCCUGAGCUGAACUAGGGAAGUGCUUUGGAAACGGGAUAACUGGAGUGCAGUAGAGGAGGGUGGAAAUCCAUGUGUAGCGGUGAAAUGCGUAGAUAUAUGGAAGAACACCAGUGGCGAAGGCGGCUCUCUGGACUGUAACGGACGUUGAGGCUCGAAAGUGUGGGUAGCGAACAGGAUUAGAUACCCCUGUAGUC